GCUUACCCUCCUGAAAUGUCCGAUCUCGUCUGAUCUUGGAAGCUAAGCAGUGUUUGGCCUGGUUAGUUCUUGGAAGUGAGACCGCCUCUGACUACCAGGUGCUGUAAGUU
rnacentral:rRNA from 1 species